AGAGUUUGAUCCUGGCUCAGAAUCAACGCUGGCGGCGCGCUUAACACAUGCAAGUCGCAUGAGAAAGGGGGCAACCCUGAGUACAGUGGCGUACGGGUGAGUAACACGUGGGUGAUCUACCUCUGAGUGGGGAAUAACCCUGGGAAACCGGGGCUAAUACCGCAUAAUCUCGAGAGAGGAAAGCAGCAAUGCGCUGAGAGAGGAGCCCGCGGCCGAUUAGCUAGUUGGGAGGGUAAAAGCCUACCAAGGCAAAGAUCGGUAGCCGGCCUGAGAGGGCACACGGCCACACUGGCACUGAAACACGGGCCAGACUCCUACGGGAGGCAGCAGUGGGGAAUCUUGCACAAUGGGGGAAACCCUGAUGCAGCGACGCCGCGUGAGCGAUGAAGCCCUUCGGGGUGUAAAGCUCUUUCGUCAGGGAAGAUGAUGACGGUACCUGGAGAAGCAGCUGCGGCUAACUACGUGCCAGCAGCCGCGGUAAUACGUAGGCAGCGAGCGUUGUUCGGGGUUACUGGGCGUAAAGGGUGUGUAGGCGGUUCUUUAAGUUUGGUGUGAAAUCUCCCGGCUCAA
rnacentral:rRNA from 1 species